rnacentral:rRNA from 1 species
GAUGAACGCUGGCGGCGUGCUUAACACAUGCAAGUCGAACGGACAGGCCCUGCUUUUGUUGGGUGCUCGAGUGGCGAACGGGUGUGUAUCACGUGUGUAACAUGCCCUUGUCUUUCGGAUAACUUCACGAAACUGCGGCUAUUACCGGAUAGGAGCUCUUGCAGCAUGGUGGGGGUUGGAAAGUUUCGGCGGUUCUGGAUGGUCUCGCGGGUUACCCGCUUGUUUGUCGAGUAGGUGCGUACAAAGGCUAUGAAGGGUAGCCGGCCUGAGAGGGUGGCCGGCCUCAUUGCGCCUGCGGUACGGCCCAGACGCCAACCGGAGGCAGCAGGGGAGAAUAUUGCACAAUGGGCGGAAGCCUGUUGCAGCAGCGCCGCGUGCGUAAUGCCCUCCUAUGAGUUGUAAACCGCUUUCGACUGAGACGAAGCGUGAGUGACGGUAAUGAGUAAAGAAGCACCGGCUAACUACGUG